AGAGUUUGAUCAUGGCUCAGAUUGAACGCUGGCGGAAUGCUUUACACAUGCAAGUCGAGCGGCAGCGCGGUCUUCGGACUGGCGGCGAGCGGCGAACGGGUGAGUAAUACAUCGGAACAUGCCCAGUCGUGGGGGAUAACACUUCGAAAGAAGUGCUAAUACCGCAUACGUCCUGAGGGAGAAAGCGGGGGAUCGCAAGACCUCGCGCGAUUGGAGUGGCCGAUGUCAGAUUAACUAGUUGGUGGGGUAAAGGCCUACCAAGGCAACGAUCUGUAGCUGGUCUGAGAGGAUGAUCAGCCACACUGGGACUGAGACACGGCCCAGACUCCUACGGGAGGCAGCAGUGGGGAAUUUUGGACAAUGGGGGCAACCCUGAUCCAGCCAUUCCGCGUGAGUGAAGAAGGCCUUCGGGUUGUAAAGCUCUUUCGGCAGGAACGAAACGGCGAGCUCUAACAUAGCUCGCUAAUGACGGUACCUGAAGAAGAAGCACCGGCUAACUACGUGCCAGCAGCCGCGGUAAUACGUAGGGUGCGAGCGUUAAUCGGAAUUACUGGGCGUAAAGCGUGCGCAGGCGGUUGUGUAAGACAGGUGUGAAAUCCCCGGGCUUAACCUGGGAACUGCGCUUGUGACUGCACGGCUAGAGUAUGGCAGAGGGGGGUGGAAUUCCACGUGUAGCAGUGAAAUGCGUAGAGAUGUGGAG
rnacentral:rRNA from 1 species